rnacentral:lncRNA from 1 species
CCUGCCAAACCCGGAGGGCGGCGCGCGCGAACCGUGUCCGAACCGCACGGCGGCGUCCUGGGGGGUCCACUGUGAGGACGGGGGGUCCACCGUGAGGACGGAGCUCCCUCUCCUCAGCACCCACCCCGGAGGGGCCGGGGCUUGGGACACCUGGGGACACCUGGGGCCGCGUCCGGUGUGAAGACAGGGAGACGCUGCUGCAGCUCCGGGACACCUGGGGCCGCCGAGGCAAAGCAGGCGUAACCCAACACCUAUCUCAGCUUUAAGAAUCCAAUAUUACCUUCACUCUGUGUGGAGACUGCAGUCCUCUGGAAAGGUGAAAGGGCUAAUCCUACUCUACAGAAGACUCCAGCUAAAUCAGACGCCUGACUAUCUCCAACACCCAUAGCUUACUGCGGGUUUGAACUGCUCCAAAGUAAAACGUAUAAUUAAGUCCUGUUGAGUUAACAUGUGGAAGGCCUUUCCUAACGACAGAUCUCCUAAUAGAUGAAAAGACUCAUCAAUUACAAAAAUAUGUCAUCAAUCUGGGACAGGUGCAAAGGCACUCCGUGCAUAUGGAAACAAG